rnacentral:lncRNA from 1 species
ACCUUUACCUAAAUAUGUCACUUCCUGUUUUGAUUUUAUGUAGCCAGCCAACUCCGUUCUGGAGCAUCUUUUGCUGCUGUGCAAAAAAAGAGCACAGUUUGUCUUCAAAACAUCUUUUUUUCCGUGUCAGACUGAUGGAAAUUUUUAGUAAACAUGACCUACGUUUCCAAAGAAUUGAUGUUCCACAGCAACACGUCUGUGAGGUUGAAGAGGAUAAAUGGCAGCUCUGUAACCAGAGGAGGAACUCCCCAGAACCUCCUCAGAUAAAAGUGGGAGCAGAAGGAACUAUGUUUCACAUCUGCAUGACUGUAAGGAGGAAGAGGAGGAGAGGAGCUCCAGUCUAG